rfam:Amycolicicoccus subflavus DQS3-9A1, complete genome.
CGAGUCAGCCAGGCGGCCGCGUCACAGAGAACCAGCGCCAUUGUGGCGGCAGGCUCUGUGCCGAGGAAAGUCCGGACUCCGUAGAGCAGGGCGGUUGCUAACAGCAACCCGGGGUGACCCGCGGGACAGUGCCACAGAAAACAAACCGCCGGUACCUGUGCACGCACGGUGCCGGUAAGGGUGAAACGGUGCGGUAAGAGCGCACCAGCAGCCUGGGUGACCAGGCUGGCUUGGUAAACCCCGCCCGGAGCAAGGCUGAAGGCCGCACCGCUUUGGUGCGGCUGCGCGGGUGUUCGAGGGCUGCUCGCCCGAACCCGCGGGUGAGCCGCAUGAGGUACCCGGCGACGGUGUGCCCAGAUGGAUGGUCGCCACUCCUCUCUCGUCGUAAGACAGGGACGAGGGGCACAGAAUCCGGCUUACCGGCUGACUCGUCCU